AUUGAACGCUGGCGGCAGGCUUAACACAUGCAAGUCGAACGAGUGGCGGACGGGUGAGUAAUGUUUGGGGAUCUGGCUGAUGGAGGGGGAUAACUACGGGAAACUGUAGCUAAUACCGCAUACCAUAGGAUGAGCCCAAAUGGGAUUAGGUAGUUGGUGAGGUAAAGGCUCACCAAGCCGACGAUCCCUAGCUGGUCUGAGAGGAUGACCAGCCACACUGGGACUGAGACACGGCCCAGACUCCUACGGGAGGCAGCAGUGGGGAAUAUUGCGCAAUGGGGGCAACCCUGACGCAGCCAUGCCGCGUGAAUGAAGAAGGCCUUCGGGUUGUAAAGUACUUUCGGUAGGGAGGCGUUACCUACAGAAGAAGCACCGGCUAACUCCGUGCCAGCAGCCGCGGUAAUUC
rnacentral:rRNA from 1 species